rnacentral:lncRNA from 1 species
AGCAUUGUGAGUGCCUUUGGUAGUUGUGAAGGCAUUUUGUUAGAUUAACAUGUAUUUUUCCCAUUUGCAUGAAGCUUAUUGGUGAUUUUAUGUCCUUUAGUUAGAUUUGCUCUGUUUUAAACAAAAAUCAAGGGUCUCUAUUGAGUACUCCCUCCGUCCGGAAAUACUCGUCGGAGGAAUGGAUGUAUCUAGAUGUAUUUUAGUUCUAGAUACAUUCAUUUUUAUGCAUUUCUUCGACAAGUAUUUUCGGACGGAGGGAGUACUACUUUAUUCGUUCUUUAGGUGUUGUUAUUUUAGAAGUCUGCUCUGCACAAGUGCAACAUGGCUGGAAAGUCUAUUGCUUCCUCUGAAGUGCGUAUUUUGUUUCUUUUCAUUUUCCAACCUUUUGAUAGUGUUUACAGGGAACAAUUUCUGUCUUACAUUGAUUGAAUAUCAGUCUGUGACACUUGAGUUUAUAAGUAUGAAAUAGUUUACUACCUAUUUGCUAGGUGCGGGUUGCUAUCAAAGUUAAGGCUUCGGUCAUCAUUUGCUUCACCUCAUCUGGACGGGC